rnacentral:other from 3 species
UUUUCCCUGCACUGUUAGUGAUCAUCAGCGUGUGUUGAGCCAACUCUCAAGAAUAGGGUACCUCCGCUGGUAUCUUAAGGAGGAUCGCUCGCGAAUUUCCUGACGUUGCUAUGAGGAUGCCCACCUAUUAAUUUAGGUUUAACUGUCCUGGCGACACGGCAGUGUGGGGAAGGU